UACGAAGGACCCGAGCGUUAUCCGGAUUUAUUGGGUUUAAAGGGUGCGUAGGCGGACUAUUAAGUCAGUGGUGAAAGCCUUCAGCUUAACUGAAGAAUUGCCAUUGAUACUGAUGAUCUUGAGUAUGAUUGAGGUGGGCGGAAUGUGUCAUGUAGCGGUGAAAUGCUUAGAUAUGACACAGAACACCGAUUGCGAAGGCAGCUCACUAAGCCAUAACUGACGCUGAUGCACGAAAGCGUGGGGAGCGAACAGG
rnacentral:rRNA from 1 species